UACGUAGGGGGCAAGCGUUGUCCGGAUUUAUUGGGCGUAAAGAGCGUGUAGGCGGCCAGACAGGUCUGCUGUGAAAACCCGUGGCUCAACCAUGUGGUCUGCAGUCGAUACGGGCAGGCUAGAAUUCGGUAGGGGAGACUGGAAUUCCUGGUGUAGCGGUGAAAUGCGCAGAUAUCAGGAGGAACACCGGUGGCGAAGGCGGGUCUCUGGGCCGAUAUUGACGCUGAGGAGCGAAAGCGUGGGGAGCGAACAGG
rnacentral:rRNA from 1 species